rnacentral:rRNA from 1 species
UACGUAGGGCGCGAGCUUUAUACGGAAUUAUUGGGCGUAAAGAGCUCGUAGGCGGUUUGUCACGUCUGCUGUGAAAGCCCGGGGCUUAACCCCGGGUGUGCAGUGGGUACGGGCAGACUGGAGUGCAGUAGGGGAGACUGGAAUUCCUGGUGUAGCGGUGAAAUGCGCAGAUAUCAGGAGGAACACCGAUGGCGAAGGCAGGUCUCUGGGCUGUUACUGACGCUGAGGAGCGAAAGCAUGGGGAGCGAACAGG